rnacentral:rRNA from 1 species
CUACGGGACGCUGCAGGUGCGAAACCUUUACACUGUACGAAAGUACGAUAAGGGAAUCCCAAGUGCUCAUGCUUUGCAUGGGCUUUUGCCAAGAGUAAAUAUCUUGGCGAAUAAGUGGUGGGCAAGACGGGUGCCAGCCGCCGCGGUAACACCCGCGCCACAAGUGGGGACCUCGUUUAUUGGGCCUAAAGCGUCCGUAGCUGGUUUGGUAAAUCUUCUGUGAAAUCGUUGGGCGUAACUUAACGGCGUGCAGGGGACACUACCAGACUUGGAACCGGGAGGAGUUAGGAGUAUUCUGGGGGGAGCGGUAAAAUGCUAUAAUCCUUGGAAGACUACCUGUGGCGAAGGCGCCUAACCAGAACGGAUUCGACAGUGAGGGACGAAAGCUAGGGGAGCGAACCGGAUUAGAUACCCCGGUAGUC